rnacentral:lncRNA from 1 species
UUAGAGAUAAAUUCUUAGAGACAAAUAGAGAAACUUUCGAACGAAGAUGAAGAAUAAUCGAAUAAGAGGGGGAUAGAUAUUUGGAGUAGAUGAACGACGUCGUCAAACUGUGGAAGAAGAAGAGGGUUCAUCAAUAUUUUUUGCUCCGUUCGUCUCUUUCUCUCUGUCGUACAGAAUGAGGAAGAAGAAGAGGAUAGUUUGGAC